rnacentral:rRNA from 1 species
AGAGCGAACGCUGGCGGCAGGCUUAACACAUGCAAGUCGAACGAACCCUUCGGGGUUAGUGGCGGACGGGUGAGUAACACGUGGGAACGUGCCCUUAGGUUCGGAACAACACAGGGAAACUUGUGCUAAUACCGGAUGUGCCCUUACGGGGAAAGAUUUAUCGCCAAAGGAUCGGCCCGCGUCUGAUUAGCUAGUUGGUGAGGUAACGGCUCACCAAGGCGACGAUCAGUAGCUGGUCUGAGAGGAUGAUCAGCCUCACUGGGACUGAGACACGGCCCAGACUCCUACGGGAGGCAGCAGUGGGGAAUAUUGGACAAUGGGCGCAAGCCUGAUCCAGCCAUGCCGCGUGGGUGAUGAAGGCCCUAGGGUUGUAAAGCCCGUUUCGGCGGGGAAGAUAAUGACGGUACCGCAGAAGAAGCCCGGCUAACUCGCGCCAGCAGCCGC